ensembl:lncRNA
AUUUUGAAGCAGUGGCUUCUUCCUUGCUGAGCGGCCUUUCAGGUUAUGUCGAUAUAGGACUCGUUUUACUGUGGUUAUAGAUACUUUUGUACCUGUUUCCUCCAGCAUCUUCACAUGGUCUUUUGUUGUUGUUCUGGGAUUGAUUUGCACUUUUCGCAACAAAGUACGUCCUUCCUGAGCGGUAUAAUGGCUGCGUGGUCCCAAUAGCAUACUAUUGUUUGUACAGAUGAACGUGCUACCUUCAGGCUUUUGGGAAUUUCUCCCAAGGAUGAACCAGACUUGUGGAGGUUUACAUUUUUUUUUACCCUAACCGACCUACUGUAAUAACGAGCCUUGCCCACACUGGUAGGACAACGAGCUAUUCCAGCCCAGGAGACUGAUGCCUUGGGGGACCAGCUAUGGUCCUAACUCAGAUCACAAUCACUAGCAACCUCCCCCACCUUUCCACACUCAGCCAUACCCCAGGUUCCACAGACUUCCACACCACCUCCCCCACCACCUCCAAACCCCUGCCUCCCACCACCGUCUCCCGGUAACACCCCCGCCUCCCAGUAACACCCCAAAGAGAGGGCUCCCAGUAGGUCCUACAUUUCCACAAGUUUCCUGUCCCUGAUGGGUACAGGAACUCUCCAGACUUGGAUGACCAUGGUUUUCCACCACAGCCUCCUCUCUCUUUUACAGUGCUAUGGUUGGAGUGAUGAAUAUGAACAGCAGGGUAAUGACCAGCAAGGUUCUUCUCAAUGGCAGCAGAGGUUUGACAGAGGAUCAGCACCAACCACCAGAAGAAACAACAUAUGACUAUGAUCCUUCUCUGGUUCUCAUUCUGAUGAGGGGAGCCCCGGGAUCUGGGAAAUCAACACUGUCCAGGAACUGCUGUCGACAGGCUCCAGUGGGCUGAGUACAGAUGACUACUUUUCCCUGGAGGAAGGCUACCCCUACGACCCCAGUCUGCUUGGGGCCGCACACUAUUGGAACCAGAACAGAUCAACUUUAAUGAGCCUCACUCACACCAGUUGUAAAUUUGAUCCCAUAGAGUUAGAAAAGUAAUUCUGUCCAUGAUUGUCUGCAUUAAAAGAUACCUGUACUAAUGUCAUGUAAGAUGCCAUGCCCAUGUAUUUAGAGAAUAUGCAUUGUACAAAUUAUAUACAGUACAUCAAAGGGCAUUCACUCACUAGAAUGCAGAGGAAAACUGGUCAAUUUAAGAGUGUGCUACUAAAUUAAUGUCAACCUAGUUUUCUUUGCCCCAUGUCAUAAAUCACAUACAAUUAUUCAUUAUGUUAUUCUCUACAAUAUUAUAACCUUACUUAGCAGUGAUGAUGAAAUAAGAACGUUUUUCUUUUUUGUGACCAUGCAAGUUUAGACUGACUGUCGCUAUCAAUUUCGGCGUUUGAACGUGGUAACAUUUGGAGGCGUUUCCACACUGGACCAAUCAAAAUUAACUUGAUACCCUGGUCAGUUUCAUCUCCAGAUCAUUGGCUUUCUUUGGCUAUAACCACGAUCAAUCUAUGUUGAGAGGCUGUUUAUAUGGUGAUUUAUACGCCCACACCAGCAGAAAUACACUUUUUCGAUCUGAAAGACGAUGGCCAGAGUUUACCCAUGUUGUAGUACAUCGAAAUAUUUCAAAAGGUUGUCAUUUUAGCCAGUAAGUAUGAUAAAGUUGGAAAUCCGAAGUGAGACAUUCGUGUAAAUCUGUGUCAAUGUGUCUUUUCUUAUGAGAUGACAUGUGUCGUGGAAAUAUUCAGUCAAUAAUAUUUCUCAAAUACCGGAGCCUGAGCCGAGCUGGUUCAUGAAGUAACUCCCUUUCCAGCCUUGGCACACACAGGUUUCAUCCUUACGUCACACACAACUCCUCUUUAUGUUAAUGAUUCAUCCCCUCUGGCAUUUAGCCACACCAUUAUCUUUUUGCCUUGCACAAAUUUUAGUUUGGUUUCAUUUUAGGGCAUAGAAACAUUAGAGCCAUAGCAAUGGUACAAAAAUAAACAGACAUGCCCACUCCCAAGACUAUGUCUAAUGCCGUCUAAUGACCUAGACACACAGAGUGCACUGAUUUUACUCUAAGGUGUCACAUAUGUACUAGAAAAUGUCCAAUACGUGCAAUUUAUAUUGGCCUGUUAUAUUUCAUGGCUGGGUUUUAUUUGAAUGUUCGCAGCACUGCAUUGGUUAUUAAUCAGAAAUACCUGAAAAGUUAUUCCUCUUUACAACUGAGUGGAGCUAAACAGCCUUGCAACCACUUAGCUGCCUGAGCCCAUUGUACAAAUUAAAACAGUGGUUGCAAACUUGUGUUUUUGUACCUACA